rnacentral:rRNA from 1 species
GACACGACCGUACCGCAAACCGACACUGGUGCGCGAGAUGAGUAUUCUAAGGCGCUUGAGAGAACUCAGGAGAAGGAACUCGGCAAAUUGACACCGUAACUUCGGAAGAAGGUGUGCCUUUAGUAGGUGAACCUGUACAAGGGGAGCCCAAUGAGGUUGCAAAAAAUCGGUGGCUGCGACUGUUUAAUAAAAACACAGCACUCUGCAAACACGAAAGUGGACGUAUAGGGUGUGACGCCUGCCCGGUGCUGGAAGAUUAAAUGAUGGGGUGCAAGCUCUUGAUUGAAGUCCCAGUAAACGGCGGCCGUAACAAUAACGGUCCUAAGGUAGCGAAAUUCCUUGUCGGGUAAGUUCCGACCUGCACGAAUGGCGUAACGAUGGCCACACUGUCUCCUCCUGAGACUCAGCGAAGUUGAAAUGUUUGUGAUGAUGCAAUCUCCCCGCGGAAAGACGGAAAGACCCCAUGAACCUUUACUGUAGCUUUGUAUUGGACUUUGAACAGAUCUGUGCAGGAUAGGUGGGAGGCUUUGAAGUGUGGUCGCUAGAUCGCAUGGAGCCAACGUUGAAAUACCACCCUGGUGUGUUUGAGGUUCUAACCUAGGCCCGUAAUCCGGGUCGGGGACAGUGCAUGGUAGGCAGUUUGACUGGGGCGGUCUCCUCCCAAAGCGUAACGGAGGAGUUCGAAGGUACGCUAGGUACGGUCGGACAUCGUGCUAAUAGUGCAAUGGCAUAAGCGUGCUUAACUGCGAGACUGACAAGUCGAGCAGAUGCGAAAGCAGGACAUAGUGAUCCGGUGGUUCUGUAUGGAAGGGCCAUCGCUCAACGGAUAAAAGGUACUCUGGGGAUAACAGGCUGAUACCGCCCAAGAGUUCAUAUCGACGGCGGUGUUUGGCACCUCGAUGUCGGCUCAUCUCAUCCUGGGGCUGUAGCCGGUCCCAAGGGUAUGGCUGUUCGCCAUUUAAAGAGGUACGUGAGCUGGGUUUAAAACGUCGUGAGACAGUUUGGUCCCUAUCUUCCGUGGGCGCUGCAGAUUUGAGGAAGCCUGCUCCUAGUACGAGAGGACCGGAGUGGACACACCUCUGGUGUAUCGGUUGUCACGCCAGUGGCAUUGCCGAGUAGCUAUGUGUGGAAGAGAUAACCGCUGAAAGCAUCUAAGCGGGAAACUCGUUUCAAGAUGAGAUCUGCCGGGGCCUUGAGCCCCCUAAAGAGUCGUUCAAGACCAGGACGUUGAUAGGUCGGGUGUGGAAGCGCAGUAAUGCGUUAAGCUAACCGAUACUAAUUGCUCGUGCGGCUUGACCU